rnacentral:rRNA from 1 species
AACGGACGCUGGCGGCAUGCCUAACACAUGCAAGUCGAACGAGACCUUCGGGUCUAGUGGCGCACGGGUGCGUAACGCGUGGGAACCUGCCCUUAGGUUCGGAAUAACUCCCCGAAAGGGGUGCUAAUACCGGAUAAUGUCUUCGGACCAAAGAUUUAUCGCCUUUGGAUGGGCCCGCGUUGGAUUAGCUAGUUGGUAGGGUAAAAGCCUACCAAGGCGACGAUCCAUAGCUGGUCUGAGAGGAUGAUCAGCCACACUGGGACUGAGACACGGCCCAGACUCCUACGGGAGGCAGCAGUGGGGAAUAUUGGACAAUGGGCGAAAGCCUGAUCCAGCAAUGCCGCGUGAGUGAUGAAGGCCUUAAGGUUGUAAAGCUCUUUUACCCGGGAUGAUAAUGACAGUACCGGGAGAAUAAGCUCCGGCUAACUCCGUG